UAGUAUGGGGGCAUACUGACUUGUACGGUCGGUCGGCCAGCACAAGGUUUGGUUUUGAGUCGGUAAUCCUUGGUCCUUAUAGCUCUUAAUCAAUCCCCUUUGCUUGUACUUUCUUGUUAAACAAAAAAAAUACAAAAUAUCCAUGAAGAGAAGGCAUCGUGAUCAUUUUCCUUCUGAUGAAGCUCUCUCUCUUGCUCUCUCUAUUAUUUUUGGCAAUAACCUUCAGGGCCUUUACAUCUUGCUAUUUGCUUGUCUUUUCAGCUGAAUGCUUAUAAAGUCACAUGGAAAGCAUUUAAAUCUGCAUAAAGGAUGCUAUCAGAGACAUUGUUCAGAGAUAUUUUAUUGGAAGAAAAAAGAAAACUGAUCACGUUCGUUUUGUGGGAGAUCUUGUUCUUUCACUAGACAACUCUAAUUAUAGAUAUAUAUUGCCAAA
rnacentral:lncRNA from 1 species